GAUGAACGCUGGCGGCGUGCCUAAUACAUGCAAGUCGAGCGAACGGACGAGAAGCUUGCUUCUCUGAUGUUAGCGGCGGACGGGUGAGUAACACGUGGAUAACCUACCUAUAAGACUGGGAUAACUUCGGGAAACCGGAGCUAAUACCGGAUAAUAUUUUGAACCGCAUGGUUCAAAAGUGAAAGACGGUCUUGCUGUCACUUAUAGAUGGAUCCGCGCUGCAUUAGCUAGUUGGUAAGGUAACGGCUUACCAAGGCAACGAUGCAUAGCCGACCUGAGAGGGUGAUCGGCCACACUGGAACUGAGACACGGUCCAGACUCCUACGGGAGGCAGCAGUAGGGAAUCUUCCGCAAUGGGCGAAAGCCUGACGGAGCAACGCCGCGUGAGUGAUGAAGGUCUUCGGAUCGUANAACUCUGUUAUUAGGGAAGAACAUAUGUGUAAGUAACUGUGCACAUCUUGACGGUACCUAAUCAGAAAGCCACGGCUAACUACGUGCCAGCAGCCGCGGUAAUACGUANGUGGGCAGCGUUAUCCGGAAUUAUUGGGCGUAAAGCGCGCGUANGCGGUUUUUUAGUCUGAUGUGAAAGCCCACGGCUCAACCGUGGAGGGUCAUUGGAAACUGGAAAACUUGAGUGCAGAAGAGGAAAGUGGAAUUCCAUGUGUAGCGGUGAAAUGCGCAGAGAUAUGGAGGAACACCAGUGGCGAAGGCGACUUUCUGGUCUGUAACUGACGCUGAUGUGCGAAAGCGUGGGGAUCAAACAGGAUUAGAUACCCUGGUAGUCCACGCCGUAAACGAUGAGUGCUAAGUGUUAGGGGGUUUCCGCCCCUUAGUGCUGCAGCUAACGCAUUAAGCACUCCGCCUGGGGAGUACGACCGCAAGGUUGAAACUCAAAGGAAUUGACGGGGACCCGCACAAGCGGUGGAGCAUGUGGUUUAAUUCGAAGCAACGCGAAGAACCUUACCAAAUCUUGACAUCCUUUGACAACUCUAGAGAUAGAGCCUUCCCCUUCGGGGGACAAAGUGACAGGUGGUGCAUGGUUGUCGUCAGCUCGUGUCGUGAGAUGUUGGGUUAAGUCCCGCAACGAGCGCAACCCUUAAGCUUAGUUGCCAUCAUUAAGUUGGGCACUCUAAGUUGACUGCCGGUGACAAACCGGAGGAAGGUGGGGAUGACGUCAAAUCAUCAUGCCCCUUAUGAUUUGGGCUACACACGUGCUACAAUGGACAAUACAAAGGGCAGCGAAACCGCGAGGUCAAGCAAAUCCCAUAAAGUUGUUCUCAGUUCGGAUUGUAGUCUGCAACUCGACUACAUGAAGCUGGAAUCGCUAGUAAUCGUAGAUCAGCAUGCUACGGUGAAUACGUUCCCGGGUCU
rnacentral:rRNA from 1 species